AACGGGAGGAUCGCAUGGGAGCAGCGCCCAUGAAACUGAAGACAGCAGGACCUCAUGCCCCAGGCAGAGGGAGAAGCCUUCCCACAACUCAGAAGUCUGGUUCCUUCCCCAAUGCUGAACAAACCCAGCAAAUCCUCCACACAUCCAGGACAACGAGCAUUCUCCUAUUUCAUGGUUUCACCUUCUGGAGCUCCCUGCAGCAAAGCAGCCCCGUUGCCAUCACCGCUGCCCCUGCCCUGGCGGGAGGGCACCCGCCGCCUUUUGAACACACCUGCAGCCCCACCAAACCCACUCGCACCCAGUCUCUCGCCCGAUCCCUUCUUGCCUCCUUUGCUCCCGCUCCUCUUUCACCUCUUUCUUUGACGUCUUUUUUUUCCCACAUGUUGGACUGCAAUUGGCUGACAGAGCCAUCAGUGAAAUCAAUGCCCGCCCUCCUCCUCCUGACAGCCAAUAGGAGAGCUGCACUGGGCGAUGCCAUGGCAACACUGGGCCCUCCUGCCCUGGCAGCCAGCUCUGUCCCCUCCCCCGCGGUCGGGCGCCAUGUUGUGGGCGGCAGCGCGGGCGCGGCGGGGCCUGGGGGCAGCGCAGCGCUGUGUGGGCGGGCAGUGCAGGGCCACGUGGCGCGGCCGCUGCCCCGGCGUGGCUGGGCUGUGUGGCGGGGUCCCCGUGGGGCUGCUGGCUGCCCUGUGCCCUGGGGGCCGUGCGGGGGGGCAGUGCUGGGGCCUGUGCUGGUGGCAGCCAUGGCGCCGGCAUGGGGGCCCUGGGGCUGGCCGGGGCGGCGGAGCUUGCGGGCAGCGUCCUGCUGCCCCCAGAGCAGGGCAGGGCAGGGCAGGGCCAGGCAGUGUCGUCUUGCCCCUCCUGCCCUGUCAGGACCCUCAGGCAGAGCUCUUGUGGCAGUCCGCAGCCCUGACCAGCCACCCCCACAGCCUGGGAUUCAAAGCAGUUUUUGCAGUUAACAGUCUCAGUGCGACACCUCAGGAAGGAGCUCCCGAAGCCCUUAGCCUUGGUGGAGAGCCGCAGGAGUGUUGGAAACAAGGAACUGCGGUCCAGGCUGAUGGUGUC
rnacentral:lncRNA from 1 species